UACGUAGGGUGCGAGCGUUGUCCGGAAUUACUGGGCGUAAAGAGCUCGUAGGUGGUUUGUCGCGUUGUCCGUGAAAACUCACAACUCAAUUGUGGGCGUGCGGGCGAUACGGGCAGACUGGAGUACUGCAGGGGAGACUGGAAUUCCUGGUGUAGCGGUGGAAUGCGCAGAUAUCAGGAGGAACACCGGUGGCGAAGGGCGGGGUCUCUGGGGCAGUAACUGACGCUGAGGAGCGAAAGCGUGGG
rnacentral:rRNA from 1 species